UCACUGGCAACAUUUUUAUUUCCUCUUCCUGCAAUUUUGUAUUCUGCUGGCCUAGGGGUCUUAGUUCCAGAGGCAGAAAUGCUUCAACCAGGAGACACAACAGUGUUUCCAUUGAAUUGUUCCUGGUCUUGAGGGCUUCAGCAGUGAAACUGCAAACCUUCCUGCUAGACAGAAAAGUUCUCCAAGUCCUCACUGGACCCAGAAGCGCAACCGGCUUCACCUCUCGCAGUCCAGGCGGGACUUUGCGGCACCUGUCCCAGGCACUCCUGCUUCCCAGAGGGAGGUCUUCCCAGCCAAUCAAGAGGAAGAGAGGAGAAGCUAGUAACAGAAGGAGACCCGCCAUCGUGGCCAACGACACCGCGAAGAGGGAAGGGCGGUCCAUGCACGAGACCCAGCGUCCAAUCAAGCCCAGCAGGCGCCGGCCAGCCGCGGUGAAUUUCAGUCAGUGCGUCAAAUUCCGUAAAAGAUGCAAUUGCAGUUUAACUGGGAUUCCACGGUGCAUUUCGAUCACUUUGGGAGACCGUUGACAUCUUUACAAUGUUAAUUUUCUCGUUCAAGAUUUCUCUCCAUUUACUCAGAAAGUUUCUUUUGUGUCUGCCAAUAAAGUUUUAGUUUUCCUCUCACAGGUUUUGUGUGCAUUUUUGUUACUUCCAACCUCUGCCCCCUGGUAUUUUACAGUUUUUCUAGCUAUUGUAAAUGGGACAGCUUCUUUCAAAUGGUUAUUUCUUGUGUAUAAAGAUAUGGAUUUUUAU
rnacentral:lncRNA from 10 species